ensembl:lncRNA
AGGAGGAGUUAAGGCUGAUGAGGUUGGAUAAUUAGAGAAAUGAGAAGCACACCCUUAAUGAUGGUGACAUUGAUCAUACAUUGAGUUGCAGUCCACAGCAUAACUGCUUGACAUAAGAUUUGGUUUUAUCUCCUGCUUGCAGCUUUAUCAGGGGAGUUAUUUUGUUAAAAAAAUGAAGCAGUGGUGCAUCGUUCAAUUGCAAAAUGGUGGCACAGAAAUUGUGCCACACAGCUGGCUGAUUGGAAAGAAGCUUCUAUGGCCACCAUAUCCACCCAAAGACACAGCCAAGGUACGGGCUGCAGUUAAAAAAAUAUGAACUGCCUUCUGAGGAAUGGUUGUCCUAUGAACUUGUUAGACACCUUGUAAGUCAAGCCACAGAUGAAGAAGCUGAGAAGAGUUUGAAAAGAUACCUACAGGAGAACUGCAACACAACUGACAUUCAGUCUGAUGAAGAAACUGAAAAGUUUGAAAAAAGAAUAUCCAGUCUCCAACAAAAUGCAGGCUCCUGUUCAAUCAGCUUUCAGAGUCAAGACCUCUGUCCAGUCUUCUAUCAAAAUUCUGCCUAACUAUCCUUUGGAGUCCUCUGACCAGAUGUGCAGCAGUUCUCCAUACUUGACUGAGUCAGGCGACUCAUCAGCCCUGCCCGCCAUGUACCCCAGCCAGGAACCAUCUUACAAGGAUCAAGAGGAUGCAAGUGAUUCUGCAAGACAGUUGCUGCAAGUGCAGAUAAGUUUUUCUACUUUCCUUAUACAGUAUGCAUGUUAAAUAUGUCUUGAACUGUAAUGUUUUUAUUCUCCACAAGAUGUUGCUUUACAAAAGUUGAUUGGAACUGUCACAGAACUUCAAAGCAACCUUUGCUUCCAUUGCCUGUCUCAGUCCAUCUGCACAAUACUGAAGAGCUUGAGACUGCAGAGAAGAUUUUACAAUCCAGUGAAGCAAGGCAAAUGAUGGUGAGACACUUUAGCAUAAUUGGAGGAACCUCACUGGAAAUGAGGGUCCGUCGCAUGCUUUCCUGUGCACUGACCAAUGAACUGGCAUCAUCAAUAAAUUGGGCUGGGAAGAUGGUUAAAGAGCAGUCAAGGCAAAAGAGGGCAUUCAAGGAUACUUUCUUGAAUAUGUGUAUAUUUGAUGCUUUGACUUUGCAGAUGGGUGUGGGAAAAGUUUCCCAAUAUGAAUAUAUUCAGGCAGUCCAGAAAUGGUGCCGAUAUGCACCAUACCGUGUGGGCAGAACUGCACAUCAAACAACUACAACUGUUCCUUUGGUGCCUCCAGAAACAAAUUAAUUUUGUCAUUUUAAUUUAUUUUUUUCAUGACAUAGUAUGAAGUGCUUUCAGUUGACUGAAUUAAAAGACAGCAAAAAAUAAAUAAAUGUGAUUGAACCAGUGG